AAGUCGUAACAAGGUUUCCGUAGGUGAACCUGCGGAAGGAUCAUUAUCGUGGGGCUUCGGCCCUCUCGAGAUAGAACCCUUGCCUUUUUGAGUACCUUCGUUUCCUCGGCAGGCUCGCCUGCCAAUGGGGACCCCAAUCAACCCUUUGUAAUACCUGUAAUCGUCUGACAAAACAAACAAAAAUUAAAACUUUCAACAACGGAUCUCUUGGUUCUG
rnacentral:misc_RNA from 1 species